AAUAAGAUGGCUGAGUAGUAUAGGCGGUAGAUUGUAAAUCUAUUAACGAGUGAUACUCUCUUAUUA
rnacentral:tRNA from 1 species